AAGUCGUAACAAGGUUUCCGUAGGUGAACCUGCGGAAGGAUCAUUAACUACAUAUAUCAUCUUGCUGGCCUCACAGCUGGCUUGGUGAUAAUAUAUCAAAACCAAAAUUUACAAUCCGUGAACAUUACAAACACAAAAAAUGAUGGGUUCGCGUGUCAUUACUUCUCUUGAAUGCACGUACUCAGCCAAUACCAAUUCCACCAAUUUUUUAACCAUAUUAACAACCAUUACCGUAACGAUAGUCCCUCGGGAUUAGCGUACUAAAACAAGCGCAUGUUAUUACUUUCGAGAAUGCAUGCA
rnacentral:misc_RNA from 1 species